CGGAAGGGCUGGCUGGGCGCUCCACAGUUCCUCCGGGUGCAUGCCUGGGAAGCUGUGCCUGCCUGUGGCUGGGUCUUUGUCUGCAGAUAGACGUGGGGAUGCCUCUGUGAUGAGAAAACUGUGGCUCCAAUUCUGCCCGUGAGAGGGCCUCUGCUCAGUCUCAGGAGGAACCAAGAAAGGCCUGCCAAUACCGUGUUGGAGAUUGAGGUUUGGCAACCCCAGGAGCCGCCCCCGUGGGUGGGCCCUGCCAUGAGCUGGGAUCCCAAUGUCAGGGUCCCUGAGGGGCUCACUGGAUACCCCAGGCUCUCGGACAAAAGGGGAGCGAGGAACCUGCGACUUCCAGGAAUGUCACAGGAUACACCCCAAAGUCGGCCAGGAGUUCGCAGGCAAGUGGAUACAAAGGCUGCGUAUCAGGGGAAACCCCGCAGCACGGGCAGCGCCGCUGAGAGGACGAGGAAGGAAAGGUGGAGCCAGAGCUGGAGCUCUGCCCAGAUCCCGUGCUCCUCGGUGCCCACCACGCCAAGCCAAAGCCCGCCUCCCGAAGCGCUUUGUCCCGACCCUCCGGAGCCACCGGGGCAGAUGAGGCUGAGUGUGCAAGGCCACGAGCAAGCAAGCGGUCUGCCGGCGAGGCCAGGAGGCCCCCUAGCGGGCCCGGCACACGCAUGCACACGGCCUGGUCCGCGCGGGCGGAAGUCGUAAGGCCGGGGACCCGCGGCGGCCACCGGGCCAG
rnacentral:lncRNA from 1 species